rnacentral:rRNA from 1 species
UACGUAGGUGGCAAGCGUUAUCCGGAAUUAUUGGGCGUAAAGCGCGCGUAGGCGGUUUUUUAAGUCUGAUGUGAAAGCCCACGGCUCAACCGUGGAGGGUCAUUGGAAACUGGAAAACUUGAGUGCAGAAGAGGAAAGUGGAAUUCCAUGUGUAGCGGUGAAAUGCGCAGAGAUAUGGAGGAACACCAGUGGCGAAGGCGACUUUCUGGUCUGUAACUGACGCUGAUGUGCGAAAGCGU